CCUCAGUCAGAGCACACAGCCUUACCCAGACUCACUUGAAAAUAGUUGACAUAGUUAAGAUGGUUACUUAGCAUGAGCAAAUGGCUGGCUUAUAAGCAUUCAUGAGCAAAAUCUGCUUUCUUAUAUAUUUUACAGCACUACUAUAUGGUUAAAACCCACUUGCCUAAGCAUUGUUCAAUGUUACUUUUAAUAUAUCAUUUUGCCUUGUGGU